rnacentral:rRNA from 1 species
UCGCCUGUUUUCCAAAAACAUCGCCUCUUGACUUAAUAUAAGAGGUCCAGCCUGCCCAGUGACUCUGUUCAACGGCCGCGGUAUCCUAACCGUGCGAAGGUAGCGUAAUCACUUGUUCUUUAAAUGAGGACUAGUAUGAAUGGCAUCACGAAGGUUACACUGUCUCCCUUUUCUAAUCAGUGAAACUAAUCUCUCCGUGAAGAAGCGGAGAUAGACAUAUAAGACGAGAAGACCCUAUGGAGCUUUAAACUUAAUAACAUUUCCUUAAAACAUCCACACUCCAGAGUGACUAACAUUUAUUACAGCUUUCUGAUUAUUAGUUUUAGGUUGGGGUGACCGCGGAGCAAAAAAUAACCUCCACAUUGAAUGGGGAACUCCCCCUGAGCCACGAGCUACAACUCUACGCACCAAUAAAUUGACAUCAAUUGACCCAAUAUAUUGAUCAACGAACCAAGUUACCCUAGGGAUAACAGCGCAAUCCGCUUCAAGAGCUCCUAUCGACAAGCGGGUUUACGACCUCGAUGUUGGAUCAGGGUAUCCCAGUGGUGCAGCCGCUACUAAAGGUCGCGUCAGCA